rnacentral:lncRNA from 1 species
GUGGGAAUUUGGAAGAACAGACAGCUACAAGAGGCAUUUAAAACAUUGUUGUCUGGGAUGCGUGGACCGAGAAUUCCAGAGUAUUCCGGAAAGGCUUCUGCUUCACAGAUGGCAUUCAAAACAGAUCUCUUCAUAACUCUGUUACUUCUGGUCUUUCACUCGUUACUUAGAAUGAGAGCCAGAGCACCAGAAGGACUUCUGGCUAGUUUCUUCACCGGCACCGUAAAACAGUCAGUUUCUUUUGUAGACUAGUUUGAAGUACUUUUCGCAUUACUUUUCCAUCCUUCUGUUGGAAUUUUAGUGCCUCCACCCCUGGACCACAUUUAUCUGGACCUUGUCCUCUACCUCACUUCCUUCUCCUCUUCUCAGGUUGGGCUCUUCAGCUAGUCCCCAAUUUCCCCCUAGUUUCCUCUGCAGAUGGACAGUCACAGCAAGCCUCGUGGGAGUGUCACCGAUGCUGGCUUUGGUCAAAUCACACAAACCCAGUCAGGGCUUGAGAGGAGACUCUAUAGUUAAGAGUGAGCUUCUUGCUGCUGUAAAAGACCGAAUUCAGUUCCCAGGACCCAUGUCAAGCUAUUCACAACCAUCUACAACCCAGGGGAUCAGAAGACUUAUCUGGCUUUACAUAGACAAAGCAUGCCCAUAGGCACACAUAUCCAUACACAUAUGUGCACACACGCACACACACACACACACACACACACACACAAACUGAAAAAUUGCUUUAAAAUGUUAAAGUCUCCCUUUCUAUUUGACUAUGACCAAGUCUCCAAGAGGGAUCAUUAGCCCAUGGAUCCUUCCACAGCAAACCCACAAGAGAGAGGUACCAAGACCACCUGGGAGGGUAGCAAACACACCUGAAUUCAGCUCCUUCACCAGAGAGGACAUGGUAUUGGUGAUGGAGUCUGCAGCCACCAGCAGGUCACUCCUUAGAUUCCUUCUCGAACCUUCAGUGAAGAAGCAAUGAUUUAAUGUCACAGCUUUCCUUUUACACCUGGCUUUUAUGUUGUUUGUCUACCAACUCCUUUGAUAACCUACAGCAAGAAUAGGAGUUUUGGUUCAUCCCCUGAGUGGAAAAAGAAAGUACACUGGCCCUGAUGUAAAAAGACCUGGAGAAUAAUGGCAGUUCAUGUCUUUCAUUAUUCUAAUUGAGAGUUUGGGGAAAAUGAAAGGAGUCAGCUUUUCUAAAGCAUGGUGACCUGGCACAAGCUUCGACACUCCCAGUGAAUCAGAAGGUGUGGACAUCUCACCGAGGACAACCCACACAGAAGCAAGAACUGGCUUGCCAGAACAGUUGUACCUUUUAGGCAGCUGUUAUGACCCAGGACAUUACCAUGUGGCUGGGCACACUGGAGCCUGUGCUCUGGCAGCACAGGCUCUGUCUCCUAACAGGGCUUCCAGAGGUCUCCGUUCCAGGACAGAUGCCUUUGACACUGGGACACCAGGUACUGACUGCUCCCAGAGAGUGGAAAGAGGGUGAGGCGCUUUGCUUCUGCUCUUAAGGUAUCAAGCAGAUACAUGCCUUGUGCCUUAACGUGAACGUAGACCACUGAAGGUAGUCCAUGGUAAAAAAAAUAAAAGGUUAUUUCUACAUACCAGGCACACUAAGGGUUACAUGGAUAUUUGUAGGCAAGGUGGAGAUGGGGCAGAACCUUCAUUACCAUAAUAUCUUUGAAAGAAGGGGUUCAAGAUUCUAAAGAUGCCACUUACAAAAAAUGUUACAUAGUAUGAGUGUCCCAAGGGCUAGGGGCUUCCCAGGACAUUGUCAUUUUGCACAAAGUAGCCUUAAAUGAAUGGAACAAUAAAUAUAUUUAAAUC